rnacentral:rRNA from 1 species
GUGGGGAAUCUUGCGCAAUGGGCGAAAGCCUGACGCAGCGACGCCGCGUGUGGGAUGAAGGUCUUCGGAUUGUAAACCACUGUCGGGAGGGACGAAGCUCUGACGGUACCUCCAAAGGAAGCACCGGCUAACUCUGUGCCAGCAGCCGCGGUAAUACAGAGGGUGCAAGCGUUGUCCGGAAUCACUGGGCGUAAAGGGCGCGUAGGCGGCCUGGUAAGUCGGGGGUGAAAUUCUGCGGCUCAACCGCAGGACGGCCUUCGAGACUGCUGGGCUCGAGCACGGUAGAGGCUGGUGGAAUUCCCGGUGUAGCGGUGGAAUGCGUAGAGAUCGGGAAGAACAUCGGUGGCGAAGGCGGCCAGCUGGGCCGUUGCUGACGCUGAGGCGCGACAGCGUGGGGAGCAAACAGGAUUAGAAACCCUUGUAGUCC